ACUCAAAGGAAUUGACGGGGGCCCGCACAAGCGGUGGAUCAUGUGGUUUAAUUCGAAGCAACGCGAAGAACCUUACCUGGGUUUGACAUCCUUUGACAGUUCUAGAGAUAGAAUCUUCGUAGCAAUACGACAAAGUGACAGGUGCUGCAUGGCUGUCGUCAGCUCGUGUGGUGACAUGUCGGGUUAAGUCCCUCAACGAGCGCAACCCCUGUCUUUAGUUGCCAGCAUUAAGUUGGGCACUCUAAAGAGACUGCCGUGGUGAACACGGAGGAAGGUGGGGAUGACGUCAAGUCCUCAUGGCCCUUAUAUCCAGGGCUACACACGUGAUACAAUGGAUGGCACAAAGGGAAGCGAGAUAGCGAUGUUAAGCUAAUCCCAAAAAACCAUUCUCAGUUCGGAUUGAAGUCUGCAACUCGACUUCAUGAAGGUGGAAUCGCUAGUAAUCGCGGAUCAGAACGCCGCGGUGAAUACGUUCCCGGGCCUUGCACACACCGCCCGU
rnacentral:rRNA from 1 species